rnacentral:rRNA from 1 species
UGGGGAAUUUUGGACAAUGGGCGAAAGCCUGAUCCAGCAAUGCCGCGUGUGUGAAGAAGGCCUUCGGGUUGUAAAGCACUUUUGUCCGGAAAGAAAUCCUUGGCUCUAAUACAGUCGGGGGAUGACGGUACCGGAAGAAUAAGCACCGGCUAACUACGUGUCAGCAGCCGCGGUAAUACGUAGGGUGCAAGCGUUAAUCGGAAUUACUGGGCGUAAAGCGUGCGCAGGCGGUUUGCUAAGACCGAUGUGAAAUCCCCGGGCUCAACCUGGGAACUGCAUUGGUGACUGGCAGGCUAGAGUAUGGCAGAGGGGGGUAGAAUUCCACGUGUAGCAGUGAAAUGCGUAGAGAUGUGGAGGAAUACCGAUGGCGAAGGCAGCCCCCUGGGCCAAUACUGACGCUCAUGCACGAAAGCGUGGGGAGCAAACAGGAUUAGAUACCCUGGUAGUCCAGCGCCCUAAACGAUGUCAACUAGUUGUUGGGGACUUCAUUUCCUUAGUAACGUAGCUAACGCGUGAAGUUGACCGCCUGGGGAGUACGGUCGCAAGAUUAAAACUUAAAUGAAUUGACGGGGUCAUAGCUGUUUCCU